AAAUAGCCCCGAUGGGAACGGCAUCCUUUUUUGUCUUUUCUGAUAAUUUUCUUUCGAUGACAAAAUGUCUAAGACAAAAAAGAUAUAGUGGACAGCGGGAUUAAGC
rnacentral:sRNA from 1 species